rnacentral:lncRNA from 1 species
ACAGGAACCAAGAGGAAUUAAGAUUCUUACCAUGACCGUCUCUGCGAUCUCUGCCUGCAGAGUCUGGAGGAAGCCAGGGUGAGAUGGCCAUUGUUUUUCUUUGUCUCUCUCUUCUGUGCCAUCUGUCAUAAGGAGGCAAACCAUAGGACAGAACACAGGCAUAGAUUCUGCAAGCCUGUUGUUCAAGCUGGCCUCACGGACUGAUAAAGGAAAUACUUCCUCUUAAGCGAUCUAUAACUUAAAGAAACUUAGUAAAAUUUUUUCUCAUACGUUUCCUCAUACAUUUUUCUCCUUACUUGAUUCCUCCAGAAUUUGAAAACUCUUAAUGAGUAUUCUUAUUUUCAUGGCAAUAUAGUUAUUUGCAUAAGUUCAGUAAGAAUCUGUUCUCCUUAUAACAGGAUUCAAUUGGAAACAUUGAUGACAUUACCAAGGCUUUGACUGGAAUAGCUUUUUUUCUUUUUAGGGCCCCACCCAUGGGAUAUGGAAGUUCCCAGGCUGGGGGUCAAAUCAGAGUUGUAGCUGCUAGCCUACACCACAGCCACAGCAACCCAGGAUCUGAGCCGCCUCUGUGACCUCAUGGCAAUUCUGGAUCCUUAACCCACUGAGCAAGGCUAAGGAUCAAACCCGCGUCCUCAUGGAUACUAGUCGGGUUCACUACCACUGAACUACAAUGGGAACUCCCUGGAAUAUCUUAAAUGGGAGGGAUAUGCAUGGACUCAGAUGUGACCAGCCAGAAACUAAAGGUUAACUUUAUGGAGUGAAUAAAGACUUUUGGAAAAAUCAGGCCUGAGACCUUGCUGCAGGGUUCCCAGCAGCCUUGCCAGGUUAGUAAGGUCACCUUCGAGCAAGCUCAGGAACCUCAGGAUAUUUGAAGGACCUUAUGAAGAUAGGAAUUGACCCAGAGUUACAGGUAUUUCAGGCUAAAUGUGAUGGGAAUGCUUGGUUUGACUUUCUAGCCCAAGAGGAUUUUAAGAGUUCAAUAGGAGAUUCCUUAUGAAAAGUUCUAGCAAAGCAGAUUAAAAAGAACCUAUAAAGUUAAUCGCUAUUAUUGCUGCACUUAGGUAAAUAAUCAGGCCAAGUUUAGUAAAACUAAACUUGCAAUCAAAUUAGUCUUAUUGUGGUUAUCUUUAAUAGAAAUGUGGCGAUUGAAGAGAGAAAACAUUUAAUAAUACACCUUUAUAGAUACCAGAUUCCAGUGCUCUUAAUUAUCGUUGAGGCUUUGUUUUCCACCCAUAAACUAACUGGAUCCUGGAUUCUUCUAGUUUCUCCCACAUUUUGCUACAAGUCUUCAAACUAAUAUUUCUAAUUUUCUCUCACCCUUCUGACCUGGAAUCACUGAAAACUGUAACUGCCCUUUUUCCCAAAGCCUUGCAAGCUAAAGUGGGAGAACAAGAUAGAAACUUCAGAGAAAUCACCACAACAGCUCAAUCUUUGUGUCUGCUGCUAGAUGGCCACUCAGAAAGAACACCAGAGACACUUAAACCACAACCAGGAAAACUGGUCGGAUUACCAUUGCCUGUUGGCUUGCCCUCAUUCCAUCUGAAGAUACUUCAAGCCUGACAUCUAGAAAUCUUGACUGGCUGCCUUCAGAACUCAGAAACUGGGAUUACAGAUUUUUUGUUUUGUUUUGGUUUUUGGUUUUUUUCCUAGUCAUUAACCAUUUGCUUUUAUUUCUAUAGAAAUGCCUCCUAUUAAUGACUUGAUUGCUUGUACACCAUGGGUCUAACUUUGGGAGCCUGCCUGCAUUACCACCUCCUGAAAAGAGCUUAACUGAACUGACCUAUUGUCAGGACUAAGUCUGGUUCAGUGAGAUGGAGCAAAUUAGCAACUCAAAUUCUGGACUGUUAAACUUCUUGGGGAGGUUUUGGAGACAGGGCUGAGGGGAAGCAGAAUAUAUGACCCCAAUAUGUGCCACUUUGGCUUGUGGGUUAUUUUGAGCUGAAGGCAGUUGAGACCCAGCAGACUCAGCAAGAGCUUUAUAUCUGUCCCUUAACUACCCAAAAGAGUUUAGAGGGCCUAUACCAGGAAGAGAGCUAUUACCAGAGAUAACAUUUGUAUCAGAAAGACUUACUUGCCUGACAUUGCCAAUAUUUGUUUACCAAACUUUUGCUCUUUUCAUCUUCCUCCCCUUUCGAAGCUCCAGCCCCCUACCCCCUUUUUCCUUAGCUCAGAAUGAAAGAUAAGCCUCAACUGUUUGACUGUCUUUGGGUCUCUAUGUCUAUGGGAAUCAUGAAGUUAAAUUUGUUUUUAUCGUGUUAAUCUGUCCUAUGUCAAUUUAAUUAUUGGACCAGCCAAAGAACCUAGAAGGGAAGAAAGGGAAGGUUUUCCUCCCUUGUAUCAUUUAUCUACUUGGGUCUUUAAUGGUUUUGAUAAUAGCUCUGUAUACUUAGGAUGUUAAUCCUUUGCUCUUUGAUUUCAUAGACUUAUGCAUGUGGCCAAAAGAAGUAGCAAAGCUCUAGACUAUACUUAGAAAUGCCAAACAUCACAGUUUCCUAGGGAAAGAACUUCUGGGACAAUGGUCCUGGGGGAAUGUGUGGUGUAUUGGUGUAGCUGACACAUUUUCAGGAGCCAUACUGUAAUGUCUCACACACAAACCUUUCUCACUGGCGAGUACAUUGUGAUACCAAAGCCAGAACUUACCUUAUGUUUAAUUUAUUGUUCUUCCCCCACUUUUCUCUGUUAUGCAAAUUUAGUCGUAAUACUAGUCUCAAGAUUUUGCUUUUAGCUCAGCACCUUUUGCCAAAUCAAUAACACUAACUCACCCAAACAGCUCAGGUCUUUGUGAACACAGAUCAUGUGGUGAACAAUUACUCAUAUGUAUUUUCUGAUCAUUCAUUCAGAUAAUGAUUAUGAAGGAUGUUUACGCCCAAAGUGAAUUAUUAUAAAAAUUGUCAGAAAGUCAUCUUCCAUCAUUAAUUUAUGGUUCAGUUAAGCUAAAAAGUACAAUAAUAAUAUCUUUGAUUACUAAAGUCACAAUAAUAUUCCUUUGGGAACAAGCACCACAGUGUCACUAGAUAUGUUGCUAUACCUUUCUGGAGCCCAUACACAAAUCUUGUCUCCAGGUCACAAGGGAGCAGAGGAGGAGAUAUCUAAAUUUUGUGCUCUAUGUGAACUGAAGUUUGGCACUUGCCAUCAGCCUCUGCAUGGAGUAAAACACGAGCCGCUGCAGCCACCAACCCGCAGCACCCCCUGAGUGAGGAGUGAGGCACUCUGUACUCUGGGAAAACUGGGAGAAUGGGCCUUCAGAUAGUUCGAUAUUUAUUUUAGGGAGAAGAUUUUACGAGCCCAAUUCUUGCAUCUCCUCAUAUCUAGAAAAACACUAAAAUCUGUCAAUGAUGACUAAUGUCUGUGACUAGUAGUCACCUUCACGAGACCAGCAGAAAAUGUCUAUAAAACGUGUGCCUGGCUGCAUGCACCUCCCCCUCACCUUUAUGACUUGAUACUCUCCCUUUCCUCUUUGGGGCAGUAUUUCAAAGCUAUCUGAAAUACUGCCUCCUGGACUGCAGUUAGCGGGCAAAACAAAAGAUGUCAUGGUCGCCUGUGAGGACAGCCACUCCCAAAGGUGGGCCAAUGAGCCCUGAGAGAACUCAGGAAGGGAUAUCAAAGGAGUGAGUUCUGUAAACCCAGACCUUGACAUCUUCCCAUAGGAAUGGUUUUCUGUGAAUCUGGUCAUCUAUAAAUCUUUUCUUCCUAAUACCUCUCCAUUGUUGCAAAAACUCUUAUAUCCUAGCUUCACUCCUCGCCUCCUCACCUCCUCUGAGCAGUUUUCAUGGGGCUACCUGAGAUGCUGUCUCCUGGGCUUAAAUCCUAAUUUUGCCCCAAAUAAUUCUUAGCUUUCAACUUUCAGGUUGUAUUUAUUUUUUUUAGUCGACAUCUAGUUGGCCAGGUUCCUUUGCUUUGUAGUUCUCUGAUGUGCAGUUCUAUCUCAAGGCUCCGCCUCCACCUCGCCCAUGCUGGUCUAGACAGAACUGGAAACAAUGGUGACUGUGGUGGCAGUGGUGGAGGCUGGGGGUAAAGGAGGCUGUUCAUCUUCUCGGAGACAAUUCUAAUGAUGGAUCCUGGCAUUCCCAUAAACUCAUACUAUUUAGAGCAGAAUCCGGGGCUUUUCUUCUUGGUAGCCCUCAAAUCCACUAAAGCUGUACUUUGUUCAUACAUGAUGGGUGCUCAGUAAAUGUCUGGAAUGUAAGCAUGGAGUUAAU